UGGAGUGUGGACUCGGGAGCACGGAAGUUCGCGGUUUGAGACACAGCUAAAGCCUUACCGCAACAGGACAGAAGGAUGAUUAUGGUUAUAGCUUUAGCCUAUUAAACCCAUUUGGUUGCGGUUUUAGUGUUGCUGAAAACGAUAAAUCAAUUGCAAAACUGGACUGGGUGAUAUUCUGUGGGAGCCACGAGUGGGCACCUUACUUGGAGAGUAUGCUGCGAACGAAUGAUGAACAGAUGAACAUAAGACUAUACGUAUACUUUCCGGAAGAAAGUUACGAGUCAAACGAACUAAUCUUUUGAACGGAACCAAAAGAUGGGGCUGAAACGCCAUGAUGUUAACUCCAACUCACCUGCAUCUAAAGUCUUCUUCUUUUUUCUGGUUGGAACACUUGGUUUGAACACAAAGCAACCCUGUAAAUAAUAUAUUGAAAUCACUGAACAGCAAAAAGAAAAGCGUAUCGUUAAUUGUAUAAUUCCCUACAUGGUUGUUACAUAGUCUACAUUGGAAGUAAACACACAAAAACGUAUUAGCCACCAGAUGUCAAGUGGCUUGCGUUUUUGGGUUGAGUACAGCCGAUUGUAGCUAUCUAGCUAGCAAACUAAGAAGCGAACAUCACCUUUGAUAUGGACGACGUAGUCAUCUGCCCCUCUUUUACACUUUAGUGUUAUAAAAAUUGUAUAUACUUUCAAUUACUGUCCGCUAACGUGACUGUUACAGUUGGCCACUGACUCCGUUUCCCGCGGUUUCUACGUAAGCGGUCGACUACGGAUUGACUGGAAAACGACAAUUCCAUUGGCCCAACUGGUGCUAACGCACAGUUCAGAGGUCAUCACUGCGACACAGUGAAACCUACUGAGCAUCGAGCGUACAAAGAAACUGGAGACGGUGGGAGGGUCCAGGCAGUGAAAGCACCCAAUGGAAUGUGGUACUUUUCUGCUCAUUGAUUUUAAUAUAAAACCCCAAGCUAACAACCAAAGAAAAUCUAAUCGGUCAUUUUUUCAGCGAUACAUUUCAUUAUGUCGAAUAGUUUAGGAAACUAAUAUUGUUUUGGUCCAGAAGCUUUGGGAAGAUAUUUAAUUAUAAUACCUCUUUCUCAAAAUAGCUGUUUCGUAAUCAGAGGAGCUCAGAGAACGCGGCACAACGCUUUGUUUGAUCGCACUUUUAAUAUUGCAAAACAUUUUCGUCAAAAACUUCGAAAGUACAAUUAUAACACAUCCUAUGAGAAGUGUGUUAUGACGUGGGACCUUCCAACACCAAGGCACAACAUGUAAUUAAUCUAUUAAGGCCAUUAUUUACUUUCUAAUAAUAUGUAUAUGUUCGCAACAAUUUUUUUUUUGUGGCUUAGACUGCUCAUAUUUAGGGACCGUCUGAAAAGUGCGGUAUUGUCUGAAAAAUGGUUGUCAAAUAAAAAUGUUAUAGCUUUCUAACCACAGCACUCAGAGUGUUAAUGAUGUGUUGAGGACCAAGAGGACAUGAACAUAUGGCCACAACUCCUGGAUCCCCGCAGUAGUUCAUGUUACAUUGAAAAAACAUAUUUCACUUAUUAUGUAAAUUUAUUUAUUUAUUUCACAAAUGCUUGAGUUCAACCAAAAAUAUUUUGUUCUCUGAACCAUUACAUUAUUGGUAAUUCAACAUGCAUUAUGUAUUUAUGAAAUUUUUUGUUUUUUUGCAUGGCACUGCAUACAACUCUGUAGGUGUUAUGACUGAAUGUGUUUGUUUUCCCUGCAGAAUUGAGACUAAGUCAAAUGGGGGACAUGGGGCAGAAUUUUGACUUGCCGACAAGAACUGGCUGUGGUCAAUUUGGUUCGGGCCAGAAAUUCGAUAUGCCUGAUCAGAAUUCAGCAGUACAUCAUUGACGAUGAUGAUGUGUUCAACAUUCUGGAGGCCAUAAGUCUGCCGACUAUUGCACGCAUUCUGAAAAGGCACCAGGUGUCCCUAAAAAACAUAUACUUGGUGCCUUUUGAAAGAAAUGCAUAAAGACGGUGAUGGAGCUGGAUGCUGCAGAUAACCAUCAGAAAUGUAUCUUUGUGGAUGAGGCUGGCUUCAACCUAACCAAAACAAAGCGCAGAGGUCAGAAAUUCACAACCAUCCAGGUACCUGGACAACAUGGGGCCAACAUCAGCAUGUGUGCUGCAAUAUCAGAGAAUGGUGUGGUGGGACACAGACCUCUUAUUGGAUCAUAUAAUGCAGCUCUCCUUGUAAAUGUCCUUUAUGAGCUACAGCAGGUCUGCCAAGCUCAUGUCUUUUGUACAGGUGUGGGACAAUAUUAGGUUCCACCAUUCUGAAAUGGUGCAGACAUAGUUUCAGGCUUAUCCACAGUUUAUACCCCAUACUCUCCUUUCCUCAAUUGAGGAAUUCUUCUCAGCAUGGAGGUGGAAGGUGUAUGAUCGUCGCCCUCACGAACGUGCGACUCUUCUCCAGGCCAUGGAUGAUACAUAGAGUGACAUAACAGCAGACCAUGGAUUCGCCAUGCAAGAAGGCUUUUUCCCAGAUGUUUGGCAAAUGAAAAUAUCUAUGAAAAAAUAUAUGAAAAUGUGGAUGAGAGUGUAUGGCCAAAUGCACGAGAGGUUUGAUGGUCACUAAACAAUGGUUUGUUUUUGACUGCAGUUGCCACAACAACAGUUUCGCAACAAUCGCUAUAAACUCAGUAUCACGAUUAAAGUUAUUUUAUUUUUAAAUUGCACGUCUGUCAUGUGCACAAAUGUUUUGUUGUGAUUCUUGUGGUAUAUCCGCAUUUCGGCUCAAUUACAAAUUUCAUUCAAUACUGAUCAGUAUCAUAACACAAGGGUCGCAUGUAGCAAAUACAUGUAUUUUGCACUGCCAAAAUCAGUCGCAUCGACCAAAAUACUCAUAGGCUACUGAGUUUUAUAUAGCACUGGAUGGCUAUUGCUAGUGAUCUAUUUAUUUAAAGAUGAUCGGGAGCUGGUAAGAUAGCAACCGAGAAAGAUAUAUUGAAUAUGUAUAGAAAGAUACUCGCAAAAGCAAGUAAUAAUCAUCUGUGUCAUUGCACAACCACAGGAACUUAAUAAUAAAUAAUAAAUAUCUUAAAUGUUA